rnacentral:lncRNA from 1 species
UUGGAACCCACUCUGACGUCACCGCAUCGACCUGCGCAUGCGCUUGGACUAUAAAAGGCGGGUUCGCGUGUUCUUAUUUCCCAGUUCCGUCUUCCUUGACCAGGGUAAGCAAUGUUCACUUUGUAAUUGUUUUUUUCUUUUUUUAACUUGCUAGAAAUAUUUUUUGAAGCGUGUUCUACAAAUGAUUUACCAAAACACGCACUGUGAUAAAGUUGUCAGGAUAACAAAAGUGAAAUGUAGGAUUUUGGUGUAGUUGCAUGCUGACCACGUGGCUCGUUGCACGCGGGAAGGUCUAAAUAGACAAUGAAAAUUUCACUGGUUUAGUUUUAUCAUAUUGUUUGGUGCACAUAAUGUUAAACAAGUUAGUCCAUUGUUUCAAUGUUACAUACAGGCCAUUUAAGUGACUAGGUUAUUUCUAGUUGCUUAAUUGUCUGAUGUUACUUUGUAAUUGUUUUGCAGUAUGUGGGCUGUUGGACCAUGGAGUUGUGCUGUAGUGCUUACUCAGAUGUUGGUGAGUUUAGAUUUACACUAGACUAUGCUUUAAAACUUCUGGUAGCAAUGAUGACUGAUCUUUUUUUCCCCAGCAGACCGACACUGUUGACCCUUUAUAACGAAAUAAGCCAAAUGAUCUAAGCAACCAUGUUGUUGCCACAAAAUCUGGUAAUCACGGUUUUUACGGUCGUUGACGUUUACUGCUCCUGUCCCUACAGAUCAUACUGGAGCAGAAUGGAUAACCUUAAAUUCAUCAGACUUUGUUUCAUAAGUCAUCCACACUCUAAAACGGGAGUUCUGGAGGACCAGAAGACUUCACAUGAUGAAUGGCCAGAUGUGAAGGUAUUUGAGAGAUUUGUUCCUCCGAAGGCUCUACACUGUCAAACCCACGUGGAGAAGUGGGUGAAGUACAUAAUGGUCCCUCUAAGCAGUCCAGCGUUUACCAGUUAUGGGGAGAAAAACCUUUUAUGCAUUAAAGUUGACCUACGACUGUUCCAACAUGCCGGGGGGGGGUUUUUUCUCACUAAUCUUAAGAAUUAUUGCUUGUAUUUUAUGUAAGUGCCUAAAUAGUCUUGCAGCUGGCACUUACCUCUAUUACUUUUACAAUAAAACUAUUAAACCAUGAAUUGAUUUUGCGUUCAUUAACUUGUUCUGUGCAUCUCUCAUUCAUCU